rnacentral:lncRNA from 1 species
GACUGCGCUUCUGCUCAUUAGGACUACGCCGCCCACUGUGGCCGCCGCUUUUGCUCGCUCCGACCACAUGGCCGCCGCUUCCGCUCGCUUCAAAGACGCUGCCGGUUCCGCCGGGGCCCCGCGGAAAGCGCCGUCUCGGCUUCCGUAGAGGCGCGCACACCAAUAGCGUCAUAGCGACUGGCUGCAGCACCACCCCCUCUUAAAGGGGCCGCGGCUCGGACUGCACAGAAGCAGCUUCGCGUUGCGGCACAGGCUGAGCCUCUGCCCAGCCCCAGCGGUAGACCAAAGGGUCUUGCAUGCAGGCUGGAGUGCGGUGACACGGUCACAGCUCACUGCAACCUUGACCUACUGGAUUCAAGGGCCUUCCCACCUCAGCUUCUCAAGUAAUUGGGACCACAGCUGUUGGCUGGACACAGUGGCUUACAUCUGUAAUUCCGGAAUUGGGGAGGCUAAGGUGGGUGAAGUGCUUGAACCCAGAAGUUUGAGACCAGCCUAGGCGACAUGGCAAAACCGAGUCUCUACAUCUCGACACAAACAAACAAACCUGAAAUUAGCCGGUCAUCUGCAGUCCCAGCUAUGUACUCAGGAAACUAAGGCCAGCGGAUCUGUUGAGUCCUGGAGAUCGAGGCUGCAGUGAGCCACGAUCAUACCACUGCACUCCAGCCUGGGCAACAGAAAGAGACCCUGUCUCAAAAAAUAAUAAAGUACAUAAAUAAAUAAAUAAACUGUUGAUUGGGAGCCGUGUAUGCACCAGGCCCUAAGCGGGGCAUGAUGAGAUGGGAUGAAGAGUCUGGAGACUUGGGAAAGGCUGCACCUCUGGAGGGAGGCCGCAGCUUCUCCUUCAUCAAAGAGGUCC